rnacentral:lncRNA from 1 species
AGCAACAUGAAUACAAUAAUGCGGAAGCGUUCAAGCUUAACAAGUCGCUUAAUGUAUAACCAGUACAUCAGGUAAUCAUAACACGACUUAAAUUCAAAGUACACGUCAGGGCCCAAACUUUUCAAGUUUACAAUUUCCAAAAGUACAACCCAAACCAGGGCCUAGUCAAAAUAUAUAACAGGAGUCUUAACAAAAGUACAACGGAUGGUUUCUCCAUAUUUCUCCAAGAUUCAGUCCUGUUAAGGAAAACAAAACUAUAGGGUGAGCUAAACGCUCGUGAGGCCAAGAACACACAUGCAAGCACUUUGUCAAAUAUCAAUCCCAAAUUCAAUAAAUAAAAUCACGUCUUUUCAAUAAUCAAUCAUUCAAACAGGAAAAAUAAUCAUAAACAAUUCAAGGAUAUAGUAGCUCUCAGGAGCUAAAUUCCACUUGCUCUGCCGAUAACAUUCGUAUACCUUCCCGCGUUGACCCUCCUGUCAACCAGGUCGGUAUUUUCAUUUCCGUAGAUCACCACUUACUUCCCUCCGUCCACCGUACACCCCAAGGGCCCACAAGUCUAUUAUGAGGCGAUACUCUACGAGUAUGCCAAGCAGGACCUCUCAUUAGGUCGAGCUUAUAUGUAUCUCAUGGCUCGCCCCAGUCCCCGACCAAGCCCAUUGCCGGCUCGAGUCCAAGGUCGGCCUAUGAGUUUGGGCGUCCCUCAUUCAUUAGAAAGUCGAGGAGGUUCACUCCAACGACACAUGCAUUGACGACAUAACAUUUCAUUUCAUUCAUUCAUUCAAUACAUUUCAUUCAUUCAUUUGAAAUUAGAACGAGUGCGAUAAAGUACGUACCCGCUCUUAUUUUUAAAACUUCCAACAAUUACCACAAUAAGCAAGUAUCAAAAUUCACACACUUGACACUCACCGAGCAAUUCAAUAAGAAUUAUUUUCUGGGGAGUUCAAGUGUCCACUGUGAGAUCCUCUUGAAGGUCUCCUUGUGCGCCUGGCAAUUAACAGUGGAUAAUCACACAAUUAACCCACUUAUCAAGAAGAUUGUACACUAGUACAAUCUAAGGAUUAUUUCGCAAAAAGGAACCUCAAUUACACGUAAAUCGAGGUUCAACUUGUCUUUUAUUAUGUACAAUAUUAGUUGAGUUUUUAUCAUGAAAAUCGUGAGCAAAACGUUUAAGAAUAUUAAAAGAAUAAAGAGUUCUUGAAAAACUCUAUUUCUUUGAGAUUGGAAAAUUUUCAGUUUUAUGAUUAAUCUUUGAAAAAUCGUAACUCGCUCGGCAUAAGUCGAGAAUUGGAAAACUUUAUACCGUUGGAAACCUCUUAGAAAGUACUAUAAGUUCCUAGAAGACACUUUUUCAUGAAUCAAAGUGGAAAGUGUUCAAAAAUGAGCUUGAAGAUGCAGGAUUGGUUUACAAGGCAGAAUUAAGUUGGAUUUCGGCCAACUUUGAAAAUUCGGCACGAUUCACACGUUGCAAACCAGCCUCUGAAAUUUGUCACUCAAUUAUAGUUGCGAGCAAGGUUUAUAACAAAACAAGCGGAUCAAGAAUCGGAGUUUCGAGUACCGAGAUACGGUAGCCCGAAGUUUGGGAAAUUCAAGACUGGAGAAGAAUUUCCAGAUUUGAACCUCCAACAUGAGGAAUUUAAUUGGGUAUCGAAACGAACUUGGAUUGGUACCAAAAUUGGCAGUAUUUUACUCCCAUAUGAAAGGUACCGUUCUAUCAAAUUUCAGGGAAAAAUACCUUCGGUAAGAUAGUUAAUUAGUCAACCAAAGUUCAGGAAAAUUAUAAGGCAAUCUGCCUUGAGACUUUCAUUACCCAAUUCAAAACGUUUAAUCAAGCAAACUAUAUAAUCAUGGUUCAUUUGUGAAAUAAAGGCCCAAGAAACAUCCAUAAUGCCUUUGGUAAGUGUUUAGUAUCAAGAACAUCAAUUAACAGGUUCACUCCAAGAUCUUGUUCCAAACCAGUCCAACAUUAGGGUUUUUCCAAAACAGAGCAGUCCACUUGUUUCAGUCACAACUCAGUCAAUAUAACUCGAAAUCGAGCAUGGCUUACGCCGUUGGAAAAUACAUUCAUAGGGUUAAAAUAUCACAGAAGAAAUCGUUUCCAAAUUCGGCACCCAUCUGGUUCAAAAUCUGGCAUCAAGUUGCUGCCUGAACACUUCAUUCCAGAUGAACAGAGCAACAGGACAGCGAACUUAAAACAUUUGGUUCGGCUUGCUCGAAAAGAAUCAGAACAUGCAUUAUAUACCAAAUUAAAGCCAGGAAUGUCUAGUUUCCAACGCCACCAACGGCACAUGAUUUCGACAUCCGAGAACAGAGUUAUAGCCAAAAUACUACCACUGGUCAGAAUCAUACGCGAACAGUUUUCCAGAUUUGCUAGUUUCUCAAGAAAAAUUCAUUUGCUCAAUCAAACCUCAAUAUUUUUCAAUGAAAUUUUUCACACAUCAAAUACAUCCUAUAAACAUCCAAUUCAAGCUGUUAGACCAUUAAAAUUUGGCCUCAAAAUGGCCGAACAUGGCAAGGGCAAAAUCAGAAGUUUUUGCUUCUUACACCCAAUGAAGUUUCUACUAAUUACCCACCACUAAUGCAUCAUUAUAACCACUAAACCAACAAUAUAAUCACCAUCAAUCAUCAAAUCAGCAACAACAACCCAAGUGUGGGAAUUCAAAGAGCCCACAAUCACAUUUUUACACCAUACACAAGCUAACCAAGUGCAUGCAUGAACUUAACAAGGUAAGAUAGCUUCCAAACUUCAAGUUUCCAAGAGUGGAUCAUCACUUACUUUGGUUGGGUGUUCAAGCAGAAUUUUCGGCCCUCUAUUGCUCCAGAAAAACCGUGAUUUCCAGCCCUUGUUUGCAGCUCAAAAGGCUCCUCAAGUAUCAAGCUAAGUGUGGUGCAAGUUUGGUUGAAUUUGGAGAUGAUUUGGGGUGGUUUUGAGUGAGAUUUGUGAGCUGAAAAUUUGAAGUAAUGGAGUUAGAGAGAGGAGGGUGUUGGCCGGCUGUCUUGAGAGGAAGAGAGAGAGUGAUC